rnacentral:lncRNA from 1 species
AAAUAAAUGCUUAGUAAGCAUAGCUAUAUACUAGCUCUGUCAAUUCACCAAGAAAGGUUGUAUAGGAUUGGAGAGAGAGAGAGAGAGAGAGAGAGAGAGAGAGAUGAUAAAAUUCUUAGAGGAGGUAUAGGACUUAGCUUGUAUUUUCUUAACUUGGAGAAAUGCUUUGGAAUCGAGGUAGGGGUUUCUUGAGGGCCUUUUACGGAGAUUGAUCUAAUUAAAUUUCAUGAGCUCUAUAUUAUGUGUGAUAUUGUAUAAUGUUCUUGAUAUGAGAUAUUUAUGUAUUGUUAACUAUUUGAAUAAUGUUGGCAUAAUUAUAUCAUGUCAUGGUAAUUGGUUGGAGUUGUUGGGUGAAGAAGAUAAUAAUGGAAAAGAGGGUAAUGGAUAUAGUCUUUUGUGUAGUUGAGUCUAACUCUUGGCAGGUACCAGGUCUCAGGGAUCCCAUAGUGCACAUGGUUUUUAUUGGGUGAUUCAGGAUUGGCGAAAGGGAGUUAGACAAGAUGACUAACAAAAUGGGAAUUAUGAGAUGAUUGAAAUGGGUGUUAGUUCAUAUAAAUGGGCAUUCGGGACUAAGUGGUAUAAGCAUGGUAUGGGACAUGCAGGUCUGCUUGUCUAGUUAUAUGAAUUAACGGGAGUAGAUGAAGAGCAUUCAUUCAUGCAUUAUUAUUAAUAAUGUGAUAUUUUAGUUGUGUGAUUGCAUGUCACUUAAUUUAGUUAUAUCAAUCUACUGUGGUAAAGUCUCAUGUCCCUACUGAGCUGUGGUUGCUCAUCCCUCACCCUAUUUAAUUUUUCAGAUGAAUUAGUGGGCAAGAAAAGGAGUAAACCAGUUGAGACUGAAUUAGAUGAGAGUAAUAGAGCUGUAUUUAUUAAUUGUAAACUUGUAAGAUUUUAGGAGCUAUUUUUAUAAGAGAAGUUUAAUUUUAAACCCAUGCAUGUUUUGGCUUCAUGUUUCUAUUUAUUUUAUUUUAUUCUUUU